UAAAUUUUAAAAUUAUAAUACUAAAAUAGUAAAUAAUUAUUUAUUAAAACUUAAAUAAUUUGGCGGUAUUUUAGUUCAUUUAGAGGAAUCUGUUUAAUAAUUGAUAUUCCACGAAUAAAUUUACUUAAUUUUUAAUUUUGUAUAUCGUUGUUAUAAAAAUAUUUUUUAAUAAAAUU
rnacentral:rRNA from 1 species